GCAUGGCGCCCGGGGCUAUAACACUCCUGGAAGGAGUCACAUUCCCCGGACCUUUAUCCCGCCGUCCCAACCGAUGCUGGCCCAGCCGAUGACAAGUGCACAGCCCAGAAGGACUAUUGUUUGUCAAAGGCCGAGUCUGGUCUCAAGCGCUUCCCUUUCAACAAUUUCACGUACUGUUUGACUCUAUUUUCAAAGUGCUUUUCAUCUUUCGAUCACUCUACUUGUGCGCUAUCGGUCUCUCGCCAAUAUUUAGCUUUAGAUGAAAUUUACCACCCAUUUUGAGCUGCAUUCCCAAACAACUCGACUCGUAGAAGACACUGAAUACCGGAGGGGACAUCCGGCCGAGAACGGGAUUCUCACCCUCUGUGACGUCCUGUUCCAAGGCACAUAGGCCGGGCCCCUCUGGAAGAUGCCUCUCCAAAGUACAACUCGGGCGCCGCAGACGCCAGAUUUCAAAUUUGAGCUUCUGCCGCUUCACUCGCCGUUACUGAGGCAAUCCCUGUUGGUUUCUUU
rnacentral:rRNA from 1 species